ACGUGGGUGACAUACCCUCAGAUGGGGAUAGCUAUUAGAAUAGUAGAUAAUACCGAAUACGAGCACAGGGGUUAGAGAUCUGUGAGGAAAGGAGCUAAGGCUCCGCUGAAGGAAUGGCCUGCGGCCCAUUAGCUAGUUGGUGAGGUAAGAGCCCACCAAGGCGAUGAUGGGUAUCCGGCCUUAGAGGGUGAACGGACACAUUGGGACUGAGAUACGGCCCAGACUCCUGCGGGAGGCAGCAGCUAAGAAUAUUCCGCAAUGGACGAAAGUCUGACGGAGCGACGCCGCGUGGAUGAAGAAGGCCGGAAGGUUGUAAAAUCCUUUUGAAACUGAAGAAUAAGCGUUGUAGGGAAUGACAGCGUGGUGACAGUAGGUUUUGAAUAAGCAACGGCUAAUUACGUGCCAGCAGCCGC
rnacentral:rRNA from 1 species